GCUGGCUAUUGCUAAGUAAAUCAAUUGACUUAUUGGUGCCAUAUAAAUACUACUACGAAUAAUAAAGAGCAGAAAAUGCAAACUUAAAAAAAAAACAAAAAAAAACAACAACAAAAAAAAACUUAUUUAUGGCAGGUAGAUGUUGCACAUUAUCCAUGUAAAACAGGUAUGGAUAUUAAAGGGAUACUAUAGGCACCAAAGCAACUUUAGAGUAAUGAAACAGUUUUGGUGUGUGGUUCAUACCCCUGCAGUCUGACUGCUCAAUUCUCUGCCAUAUAAGAGUUAAAUCACUUUGUUUAUGCAGCCCUUGCCACACCUCCCUGAAUGUGACUUAAAUGCCUUCCUAAAUAUUUCAUGUAAAGAGAUAGAAUUUUAAAUUUUAUUGUACAUUCGGUAUAAUUUAGA